UUUUUUAUUACUCGCCAAGCUAGAAGAAGGAACGCCAGCGGGAAGGAAUUUUCGGGAACAAGAAAACUCUUCGGCUUCUUCUAAUCUUCUUCAUUGAUAAUCGCAUACAUGGGUAAUAGAAAACAUCAUUACAGGAGGAACGGUAAUAUCUAUUCAAUCGUUUUUAUUCCAAUAUUAAAGACACGAAAUCAGUUCUUAUUUUGUUUCUUCUUCUUCAGCGAUAACAGCCACCGAUUUCAGUUUAUUCUUACUUCUAUUUCUUCUAAUCGUCUUCUUCUUCACUGAGUCUUAGAAGUUCAAAACUAUCAAGCUUCAAAUUUCGAAUUAAGAAUCAUCAAAGUUCAAAAUCUGAAGCUUCAAAAUCUUAUCUGUUUGACUGUUUGAGCCUUGAGGUGUUGAAGUCAAAGAACCAUCAAUAUCAGUUUUUGUAAAUCAGAAGGAACAAGGGUCAAUGAUAACGAAUUCAGAUUGCUGGUUUUCUGAUUUUUUUGGAGCAUAACAUUGUUUUCUGAUUUGAAGUGUCAAAAUUAUAAGUUUUGAUAUCUUCUCUUGGUGAUUUGAAGUCUAGAAAAUCUAGAACCAAGAAGAAAUCUACAAAUCUCAAUUCACAAAUAAGGUCGUUUCUUUCUUUUCUAUAAUUUACAAUGCCUCAUAGAUUAAAAAAAUAUGCAUCUGGAUAUGAAAAACGUAAAAAAAAAAAACAAUAAAUUAAAGAAGUUAAUAAAGUUCAAGCAGGUUCUAUGGAUAAGUUUAUAACAAAAAAAAAACACAAAACUUUUCGGAAAAUGAAACACAAACUGUUAAUGAAGAUAAUAUUAAUGAUAAUGAUUAUGUUGAUGUUGAUGUUAAUGAUAAUGCUAAUGACAAUGUUGAUGUUUGUGAUAAUGCUAAUGACAAUAUUGAUGAUAAUGAUUAUGUUGAUGUUGUAGUGUUUCACAAUUCGCGCAAGAGAAAUUUAGGAUUAAAUACUUUAUUUAUAUUGUUGAUCAAUCAAUUACUUCUUUAACUACAAUGUUUGAACAAUAUCAACAAUAUGAUAAAAUAUUUGUUUUUUUUUGUUUAAUUCAGAAAAACUACAUUCAUUAGAUGAUAUAACUUUAGAAUCUUGUUGUAAGUCUCUUGAAACUUCACUCAAGAAAGACGAGUAAUCAGAUAUUGAUGGAAAUGACUUGUAUGUUGAGUUAAAAUUACUUCUACAUCUCUUGCCCAAAGAAAAAAUGACAGCAAUUGAUAUUUUAAACAUUUUAAAACGUGUUGAUUGUUUUCCUAUUACAUCUAUUGCGUAUAUAAUUAUGUUGAUUAUUCCUGUUACUGUUGCAUCUGCAGAACGAAGUUUUUCCAAAAUUGAAGAUUUUGAAGUCCUAUUUACGAUCUACAAUGACUCAAGAACGAUUUAAUGGGCUGGCUUUGAUGACAAUUGAGGGUAACAUGCUGGACAAAGUUAUAUAUGAAGAUGUUAUUGAGAAAUUUAUUUCAACAAAUAUUAGGAGGAUGACAGAUUUCAAGUAGAAACCAAUUUCUUUUUUGUGUAUUAUUUUGAAUGAAAUUUUAAUUUUAUGUAUUUGCAAUAAAAAAUUAAAAUGUAUAUUUUUUUGCUU